GAUCAUGGCUCAGGAUGAACGCUAGCGGCGGGCUUAACACAUGCAAGUCGAGGGGCAGCGGGGGAGUAGCAAUACUCCGCCGGCGACCGGCGCACGGGUGCGUAACGCGUAUGCAACCUACCUUUAACAGGGGCAUAACACUGAGAAAUUGGUACUAAUUCCCCAUAACAUUCGAGAAGGCAUCUUCUUGGGUUAAAACGUACCGUGGUUAAGAUGGGCGAUGCGUUGUAUUAGCUAGUUGGUUGAGGUAACGGG
rnacentral:rRNA from 1 species